GGGAUUCGGCAGCUACACAUGCAGUCGAACGGUAACAGGGAUUGCUUGCAAUCCGCUGACGAGUGGCGCACGGGUGCGUAACGCGUAUGGAACCUACCCUUUACUGGGGGAUAGCCCGGAGAAAUUCGGAUUAAUACCCCGUAGUAUUGCUUAGUGGCAUCACUUGAGCAAUUAAAGCUUCGGCGGUAGAGGAUGGCCAUGCGUCCUAUUAGCUUGAUGGUGAGGUAACGGCUCACCAUUGCUACGAUAGGUAGGGGCCCUGAGAGGGGGAUCCCCCACACUGGUACUGAGACACGGACCAGACUCCUACGGGAGGCAGCAGUGAGGAAUAUUGGACAAUGGUCGAAAGACUGAUCCAGCCAUGCCGCGUGCAGGAAGACGGCCCUACGGGUUGUAAACUGCUUUUUUACGGGAAGAAUAAUGCCCACGUGUGGGCAGAUGACGGUACCGUACGAAUAAGGACCGGCUAACUCCGUGCCAGCAGCCGCGGUAAUACGGAGGGUCCGAGCGUUAUCCGGAAUCAUUGGGUUUAAAGGGUCCGCAGGCGGGCCAGUAAGUCAGGGGUGAAAGUUUGCGGCUCAACCGUAAAAUUGCCUUUGAUACUGCUGGUCUUGAGUUGUGGUGAAGUGGCCGGAAUAUGUGGUGUAGCGGUGAAAUGCAUAGAUAUCACAUAGAACACCGAUUGCGAAGGCAGGUCACUAACCACACAC
rnacentral:rRNA from 1 species